rnacentral:rRNA from 1 species
GCCAGACUCCUACGGGAGGCAGCAGUGGGGGAUAUUGCACAAUGGGGGAAACCCUGAUGCAGCGACGCCGCGUGAGUGAAGAAGUAUUUCGGUAUGUAAAGCUCUAUCAGCAGGGAAGAAAAUGACAGUACCUGACCAAGAAGCCCCGGCUAACUACGUGCCAGCAGCCGCGGUAAUACGUAGGGGGCAAGCGUUAUCCGGAUUUACUGGGUGUAAAGGGAGCGUAGACGGUUAUGUAAGUCUGGAGUGAAAGCCCGGGGCCCAACCCCGGGACUGCUUUGGAAACUGUGUUGCUGGAGUGCUGGAGAGGCAAGCGGAAUUCCUAGUGUAGCGGUGAAAUGCGUAGAUAUUAGGAAGAACACCAGUGGCGAAGGCGGCUUGCUGGACAGUAACUGACGUUGAGGCUCGAAAGCGUGGGGAGCAAACAGGAUUAGAUACCCGAGUA